GGGCGAUUAGUUAAAUGGUAUAACAGUGGUCUCCAAAACCACUAUUGGGGGUUCGAUUCCCUCAUCGCCCG
rnacentral:tRNA from 3 species